CUCCUCUGGUUGUCUCUCUCCAGCAUCACGACUCCGUCCCUUCAUGCUCGUAUCUGGAGCUCGCUCGGCCUACAGCUCGCUUGUACCCGGCCGCCGUGUUGUUCCUGUUCGUCUUCAGCGCCUGCCGAGCACCGCCGCUUGGCCAUGGCGCACGGCCAUCCCGUCUGGACCUCCUCCAGCUCCUCCAUCCCCUGUUCCUUGGCGCUCGCCGAGGGCCUCUCCUUCAUCUUCUGUCGCGUCUCAACUCCCAUGGCCGCCUCUAUGCACGAGCUCGCCGGACGCCGCAGCAUAUACUCCCUGCUCGGCCUCCCCGGCGUGCUGCUCCCUCGCCUUGGCGCCCCUGCGAGUUCCUUCUCCCUCGCUCGGUUUCUAACUCGGGCCUCACCGGAUGCCGACACUGCUUCUCUGACCUCGCCUCGACACUCAAUCACUGCAGCACGCCAUGCUGUGUGUGCUACACUAUCAUCGCUCGCUUUCCUCGUCCUCGCCAAUUUUCUUCGUCGUUUCUCGGCUACAACCUCGUCAGCUCCUGUGAGUCG
rnacentral:misc_RNA from 1 species